AUUGAACGCUGGCGGCAUGCCUUACACAUGCAAGUCGAACGGUAACGGGUCCUUCGGGAUGCCGACGAGUGGCGAACGGGUGAGUAAUAUAUCGGAACGUGCCCAGUAGUGGGGGAUAACUGCUCGAAAGAGCAGCUAAUACCGCAUACGACCUGAGGGUGAAAGGGGGGGAUCGCAAGACCUCUCGCUAUUGGAGCGGCCGAUAUCAGAUUAGCUGGUUGGUGGGGUAAAGGCCUACCAAGGCAACGAUCUGUAGUUGGUCUGAGAGGACGACCAGCCACACUGGGACUGAGACACGGCCCAGACUCCUACGGGAGGCAGCAGUGGGGAAUUUUGGACAAUGGGCGCAAGCCUGAUCCAGCAAUGCCGCGUGCAGGAAGAAGGCCUUCGGGUUGUAACUGCUUUUGUCUAGGAAGAAAUCUUCUGGGCUAAUACCCCGGAGGAUGACGGUACCUGAAGAAUAAGCACCGGCUAACUACGUGCCAGCAGCCGCGGUAAACGU
rnacentral:rRNA from 1 species